AAUAUUUCAACAAAUGGCUGACCCACAAAUUUCAGUGCAUACCAAAGCCAAAAAGUACAGCAAUACAUCAUGAUAAGCUAAUUUGAAAGCCAAAAGCUAAUUUCUUCCAAUUGACAUGAACCAAAUAGUUUGGGAUCUUUAUGGAUGUGCUAUCAAUUAGAAGUCUAAGCCCAAAGGUAAGGUACAGAUACAAAAAAGGCAGGAAAUGACUGCAUAUGUGUAGCUCAAUGAGGAAAUUAUUGCUCGGACAGUCGUGGUAAGGUGUUUGUCCUUACCAUUGGUGAUGGAGCAAUUCAAGUCCAGGCAGGAAAUAUCGUCUGGACUCAUGUCUAACAAUGCAACAGGACAUACACUCCUACAUCUCCCAGUGAGCAAAUUGACUUCCACCACGGUUUCCUAAUCCUUAAGAAGAUAAAGUUUGCAUCUUGAAAAUAUUUCAACAAAUGGCUGGCCCACAAAUUUCAGUGCAUACAAAAGCCAAAAAGUACAGCAAUCCAUCAAGAUAAGCUAAUUUGAUAGUCUUAUAAAUAGCUGCUGAAAUUGGCUAAUUUGUUCAUCACAAACGACAGCAAGCCCAACAUUCCAACCAGCACAUGUUAUCAUCCACCAGGACCCAUCAAUAUCUCAAGUUUUAUUUCGAGAAAUUCACAAGCACCAGUAUACAGCCAAAGACCACACCUUUGUACCCAUGAAACCUGGCAACACCCAAGAUAGAUACCGCGACGGCAGCAUAGGGGUGCUUAUCUCCUCG
rnacentral:lncRNA from 1 species